ACACAUGAACAUUGACAAUUCGAACGCACAUUGCGGCCCUAG
rnacentral:rRNA from 1 species